rnacentral:rRNA from 1 species
GACGAACGCUGGCGGCGUGCCUAACACAUGCAAGUCAGGGAGAAGGAGGUAGCAAUACUUCCGGAAACCGGCGCACGGGUGAGUAACACGUAGGUAACCUACCCUUGAGCGGGGAACAACAUCGAGAAAUCGGUGCUAAUACCGCAUAAUGCAACGAGACCGCAUGGUUUUGUUGUCAAAGAUCCGCAAGGAUCACUUGAGGAUGGACCUGCGCCCGAUUAGCUAGUUGGCGGGGUAAAAGCCACCAAGGCAACGAUCGGUAGCCGACCUGAGAGGGUGAUCGGCCACACUGGAACUGAGAUACGGUCCAGACUCCUACGGGAGGCAGCAGUGAGGAAUAUUGGUCAAUGGCCGAAAGGCUGAACCAGCAACGCCGCGUGAGGGACGAAGAUCUAAGGAUUGUAAACCUCUGUUAGGAGGGACGAAUGAUUCCGUAACGAACUUACGGAAUGUGACGGUACCUCAGAGAAAGCCCCGGCUAACUCCGUGCUAGCAGCCGCCGCCGUAAG